rnacentral:rRNA from 1 species
UCAGAACGAACGCUGGCGGCGCGUUUAAGCAUGCAAGUCGAACGGUAACUGUCCUUCGGGACAGCUAGAGUGGCGGACGGGUGAGUAACACGUAGGUGAUCUGCCCUUGAGUUGGGGAUAGCCCAUGGAAACAUGGGGUAAUACCGAAUACGCUCCGGAUGCUAUGGCAACUGGAGGAAAAGCGCUUCGGCGCUGCUCGAGGAUGAGCCUGCGGCUGAUUAGUUAGUUGGUGGGGUAACGGCCUACCAAGGCGACGAUCAGUAGCCGGCCUGAGAGGGUGAACGGCCACACUGGGACUGAGAUACGGCCCAGACUCCUACGGGAGGCAGCAGCUAAGAAUCUUCUGCAAUGGACGAAAGUCUGACAGAGCGACGCCGCGUGGGUGAAGAAGGCCGGAAGGUUGUAAAACCCUUUUCUAUUCGAGGAAUAAUCGCAGGAGGCAAUGCCUGCGAGAUGACGGUAGGGUAGGAAUAAGCCCCGGCCAAUUACGUGCCAGCAGCCGCGGUAACACGUAUGGGGCGAGCGUUGUUCGGAAUCAUUGGGCGUAAAGGGCGCGUAGGCGGAUAUGCAAGCUUGGUGUGAAAGACCGCAGCUCAACUGCGGGACCGCGCUGAGAACUGCAUGUCUAGAGUUCAAGAGGGGAAGCUGGAAUUCCAGGUGUAGGGGUGAAAUCUGUAGAGAUCUGGAAGAACAUCAGUGGCGAAGGCGAGCUUCUGGCUAUGAACUGACGCUGAGGCGCGAAAGCGUGGGGAGCAAACAGGAUUAGAUACCCUGGUAGUCCACGCUGUAAACGAUGUGCACUAGGUGUUGGGCCGCUGAAGGCUCAGUGCCGUAGCUAACGCGUUAAGUGCACCGCCUGGGGAGUAUGCUCGCAAGAGUGA